rnacentral:rRNA from 1 species
CCUACGGGUGGCAGCAGUGGGGAAUAUUGCACAAUGGAGGAAACUCUGAUGCAGCGACGCCGCGUGCGUGAAGAAGUAAUUCGUUAUGUAAAGCUCUAUCAGCAGGGAAGAAAAUGCCGGUACCUGAGUAAGAAGCCCCGGCUAACUACGUGCCAGCAGCCGCGGUAAUACGCCGGGGGCAAGCGUUAUCCGGAUUUACGGGGUGUAAAGGGAGCGUAGUCGGCAGUGCAAGUCUGUGGUGAAAGGCGGGGGCUCAACCCCCGGACUGCUCUGGAAACUGUACGGCUGGAGAGCAGGGGGGGUAAGGGGAAUUCAUGGUGUAGCGGUGAAAUGCGUAGAGAUUAGGAGGAACACCAGUGGCGAAGGCGGCUUACUGGGCUGUAACUGACGUUGAGGCUCGAAAGCGUGGGGAGCAAACAGGAUUAGAUACCCUAGUAGUC